rnacentral:rRNA from 1 species
UGGGGAAUUUUGGACAAUGGGCGAAAGCCUGAUCCAGCAAUGCCGCGUGUGUGAAGAAGGCCUUCGGGUUGUAAAGCACUUUUGUCCGGAAAGAAAUGGCUCUGGUUAAUACCUGGGGUCGAUGACGGUACCGGAAGAAUAAGGACCGGCUAACUACGUGCCAGCAGCCGCGGUAAUACGUAGGGUCCAAGCGUUAAUCGGAAUUACUGGGCGUAAAGCGUGCGCAGGCGGUUGUGCAAGACCGAUGUGAAAUCCCCGAGCUUAACUUGGGAAUUGCAUUGGUGACUGCACGGCUAGAGUGUGUCAGAGGGGGGUAGAAUUCCACGUGUAGCAGUGAAAUGCGUAGAGAUGUGGAGGAAUACCGAUGGGCGAAGGCAGCCCCCUGGGAUAACACUGACGCUCAUGCACGAAAGCGUGGGGAGCAAACAGGAUUAGAUACCCUGGUAGUCCACGCCCCUAAACGAUGUCAACUAGUUGUUGGGGAUUCAUUUCCUUAGUAACGUAGCUAACGCGUGAAG